AUUGAACGCUGGCGGCAAGCCUAACACAUGCAAGUCGAGCGGAAACGAGUUAUCUGAACCUUCGGGGAACGAUAACGGCGUCGAGCGGCGGACGGGUGAGUAAUGCCUAGGAAAUUGCCUUGAUGUGGGGGAUAACCAUUGGAAACGAUGGCUAAUACCGCAUAACGCCUACGGGCCAAAGAGGGGGACCUUCGGGCCUCUCGCGUCAAGAUAUGCCUAGGUGGGAUUAGCUAGUUGGUGAGGUAAUGGCUCACCAAGGCGACGAUCCCUAGCUGGUCUGAGAGGAUGAUCAGCCACACUGGAACUGAGACACGGUCCAGACUCCUACGGGAGGCAGCAGUGGGGAAUAUUGCACAAUGGGCGCAAGCCUGAUGCAGCCAUGCCGCGUGUAUGAAGAAGGCCUUCGGGUUGUAAAGUACUUUCAGCAGUGAGGAAGGGGGUGUCGUUAAUAGCGGCAUCUCUUGACGUUAGCUGCAGAAGAAGCACCGGCUAACUCCGUGCCAGCAGCCGCGGUAAUACGGAGGGUGCGAGCGUUAAUCGGAAUUACUGGGCGUAAAGCGCAUGCAGGUGGUUUGUUAAGUCAGAUGUGAAAGCCCGGGGCUCAACCUCGGAACUGCAUUUGAAACUGGCAAACUAGAGUACUGUAGAGGGGGGUAGAAUUUCAGGUGUAGCGGUGAAAUGCGUAGAGAUCUGAAGGAAUACCAGUGGCGAAAGCGGCCCCCUGGACAGAUACUGACACUCAGAUGCGAAAGCGUGGGGAGCAAACAGG
rnacentral:rRNA from 1 species